GGCAGCGCGGAUAGGCAUGCAAGUCGAACGGGAUCCGCAAGGUAGCAAUACUGCGCGGUGAGAGUGGCGGAUUGGGGAGGAGCACGUGAGCAACCUGCCCUGGAGAUGGGGAAAACCGUUGGAAACGACGGCUAAUACCGAAUGUGGCGGCCGAUGGCAUCAUUGGACCGCUGAAGGGGGCCGCAAGGCUCUCGCUCCGGGAUGGGCUCGCGCACCAUCAGCUAGUUGGCGGGUAACGGCCCACCAAGGCUUACGGUUAGCUGGUCUGAGAGGAUGACCAGCCCCACUGGGACUGAGAUACUGCCCAGACUCCUACGGGAGGCUGCAGUCGAGGAUCAUUCGCAAUGGACGAAAGUCUGACGAUGCGACGCUGCGUGGAAGGAUGAAGGCCUUCGGGUUGUAAACUCCUGUCAUGAGGGAAGAGGCGAGGGGACCUAAUACGUUCUUUAGUUGACUGUACCUCAAGAGGAAUGGGCGGCUAACUCUGUGCCAGCCGCGGC
rnacentral:rRNA from 1 species